UUGUGGAGGAGGACGCCGAAGGUGGGGCUAGUGACUGGGGUGAAGUCGUAACAAGGUAGCCGUACCGGAAGGUGCGGCUGGAUCACCUCCUAACAGGGAGACAACAAAAUGUUUAAUAUUAUUAUUUUGUCACCUUAGGUCGAUCGGUAUCUCACAUUCUUAAUUUUUUAAGGAUUUUAUUUCCUAAGUUUUUUCUAGGUCACACCCAUUACUUUUCCUGGGCCAUUAGCUCAGGUGGUUAGAGCGCACCCCUGAUAAGGGUGAGGUCCCUGGUUCAAGUCCAGGAUGGCCCAUAUCUCUAUGUUGGGGGUAUAGCUCAGUUGGUAGAGCGCCUGCUUUGCAAGCAGGAUGUCAGCGGUUCGAGUCCGCUUACCUCCACUGAUUACCACCUCUUCCAUAAUUAUUAUUAAGGAAAUGUUUUGAGUAGUGAUCAAAUUCUGAACGAAUCUAGCUUCCUAAUGAACUUAUUAAGAUGCUGGACUCAUUGAAUUAUUUUCAUUGUUUUCAGAGAACCUUGACAACUGCAUAGAUUAUUUUAAAGACAAUAAGCAUCUUAUGAUGCAGAUUUAUUAUUUGUGCGAAUGCAUUAAUAACAAUUCUAUUAAGCUGAUGCUUCAAUUAUGAAGUUAUUGGUCAAGCUACAA
rnacentral:misc_RNA from 1 species